rfam:Aeromicrobium marinum DSM 15272 chromosome, whole genome shotgun sequence.
CUCGGUCCUCGGUAGUGGCCCUCGGGCCCCGCACAGGCGGGCCCCGCAGGCCUCGAUCGAUGACCGGC